GGGGGGGGGUGGCGGCGGGCUUGGCGGGUGCAGGUCGAACGGAGGGGCCUGCUUUCCCUUGUGGCGUGCGGGUACUCGAGUGGCGAAAGGGUUAGUAACACGUGAGUGAUCUGCCCCCAACUUGGGUCUAAGCCUGGGCAACUGGGUCUAAUUCCCGAUAGGCCUGCAGGGUGGUGCCGGUAGUGGAAACAGAUUUUCUAGUGGUUGGGGAUGAGCUCGCGGCCUCUCAGCUGGUUGGUAGGGUAAUGGCCGACCAAGGCGGCGACGGGUAGCCGGCCUGAGAGGGUGGGCGGCCACAUGGGGACUGAGAGACGGCCCAGACUCCUACGGGAGGCAGCAGUGGGGAAUAUUGCAAAAUGGGCGGAAGCCUGAUGCAGCGACGCCGCGUGGGGGAUGACGGCCUUCGGGUUGUAAACUCCUUUCGACCGCGAGGAAGCCACCUGGUUGGAAGGGUGGUGACGGUAGUGGUAGAAGAAGCACCGGCUAACUACGUG
rnacentral:rRNA from 1 species